UCAGUCCCGUUCUUAGUCUUUGCAGGGCUGUCGGGAGGCAUUCACACCUCCGGGAACCGGCUAUGAACUCCGAGGAGCAGGGCAGUGGACAUGGAGCACGAGCCACGAAGAACCACAUGUGCCUGGGGCCAGAGCACAUAGGAGGCGGGGGCUCCUCGGAGACCCAGGCUGGGCUGAGGCAGAGCCAUACUCAGGACCCCCAUCCUCGCCUCAACCACAGCCCCAAAGGUGUUCCCUCUGGCCCCCGGCUGUGGGACAACAUCUGACUCCACCGUGGCCCUGGGCUGCCUGGUCUCUGGCUACUUCCCAGAGCCGGUGACUGUGUCCUGGAACUCAGGCGCCCUGACCAGCGAUGUGCACACCUUCC